rnacentral:rRNA from 1 species
UUGCACCGAGCGGAUGAGUUGCGAACGGGUGAGUAACGCGUAGGUAACCUGCCUCUUAGCGGGGGAUAACUAUUGGAAACGAUAGCUAAUACCGCAUAAAAGUCGACAUCGCAUGAUGUUGACUUGAAAGGUGCAAUUGCAUCACUAAGAGAUGGACCUGCGUUGUAUUAGCUAGUUGGUGAGGUAACGGCUCACCAAGGCGACGAUACAUAGCCGACCUGAGAGGGUGAUCGGCCACACUGGGACUGAGACACGGCCCAGACUCCUACGGGAGGCAGCAGUAGGGAAUCUUCGGCAAUGGGGGCAACCCUGACCGAGCAACGCCGCGUGAGUGAAGAAGGUUUUCGGAUCGUAAUGCUCUGUUGUAAGAGAAGAACGAGUGUGAGAGUGGAAAGUUCACACUGUGACGGUAACUUACCAGAAAGGGACGGCUAACUACGUGCCAGCAGCCGCGGUAAUACGUAGGUCCCGAGCGUUAUCCGGAUUUAUUGGGCGUAAAGCGAGCGCAGGCGGUUAGAUAAGUCUGAAGUUAAAGGCUGUGGCUUAACCAUAGUACGCUUUGGAAACUGUUUAACUUGAGUGCAGAAGGGGAGAGUGGAAUUCCAUGUGUAGCGGUGAAAUGCGUAGAUAUAUGGAGGAACACCGG